GACACAGUCUGUAAUGAAGCAGAGAGGAAGUCAGUGUAGAGUCUGAGGCAGGGCACACAGAGCACAACCUGUGCAAACUGGCCGUCCUUCACUGUGCCAGUGUAAGGGCCCUGGUCCUCAGCUGCACAGGGGUACAUCCCAUGGUCUGUAAAACCAGUAUCUGCGCCAUAGAUGGGGGGACCAUAGGCUCAGGGCAAGCUUGGGCUCGUAACAAGACACUGCAGCAGUGCUUUUGAAUCCCAGUGACACAUGUCCCAACAGAGUGUAUUUAUAAUCCUCGGAGCUGUUUCCGAGGACACCUGCACAGAUCCUUUCACUGCAUGUGCCAGCCCUGGAAACAUCCUCCCUGGGGACAGCCACCUUACCCUGUGUUCCAGGAUCGGGUUCAAAGGCAUUGGGAAAAUCCUCGAAACCACAGGCGGGUUUCAUUAUUGGGCACGUGUGUAAUUUUUCUGAGAGUGUCCUAGGCUCAAAGACCAACCUGGAAAAACAACUUAGUCUCUCCAGUUCUCGUCUAAUGGUGAUGACACAGGCCCCAUCCCGGAAGAAGUCUUCUGCAUUCCCUGGGCACCCUGUCUUGCUUGGCCAGGGCAGGAUGUUUGGUGAGGUUUCAGGGUUCUCACCACCAAACAUAUAACAAGCAGUGCCCGGCCACUAAUUAUAGUUCUGCUUAAGUGACGCUUACUAGAUGGAGAAUAUUAAUGGCUUUUGCAAACUCCAUCUUGCUCAACAGUGGGAGUCAUUGCUCAAGUCACCAUCAGUUAGCAUUCUUUCGAUCACUAUGACAAAGAGUGUGUGUGUGUGUGUGUGUGUGUGUGUGUGUGUGUGUGUGUGUGAGAGAGAGAGAGAGAGAGAGAGAGAGAGAGAGAGAAGGGUCCCCUGCUACUGUCCUACCCUUCCAAGUAAAACUGCUAAAAAUAGGAAAGGUUAAAGGUGAGUUUGUAUCAAGUCAAAACCAUACAAAAAGCCUCCCCAAUCCCCUCUGUAGAGAGGGAGGAAAUAAUUCCUCACAGGAAGUUAGAUGUACCCGUAAGUGCUACUGCUUAAGACCAUAGUACUAAAAACAAACAGACAGACAAGAGGGAAAUGCCCUCUUACCACGUGGGUGGGGACCCGAGAGCUUAACAAGUUCAAAAAGUUUGAAAAUGGAUAUAGAUCUGAAAGAUUAAAUAUCUAAGGGGUCAGGGAGGAGCCUCUAAGAUUUCCAAUCUGAGCAACAAAACCCCAGAGCAAGCCCGUGGGAGCUCCUGGAGGCAGCCCCUCAAUCCAGAAGGAAUAAUAAACCCCAACAAGGACUGUGAGCUCAGAGGAGAGCCCAGUCCCUGGUAGUAUGGGGUUGAGGUAAUUACAGAAUCUUGUCUCCUCCUCCACCUCCUCCUCUACUGGCUGUGAGCACGUAGUGGGUCACUGUCUCCUUCAAGAACAGAAGAAAGGAAUCUUAAGGCAUUGCUUCUGGACCUUUCUAAACCUUAGGCCCCUGCCACCCUCAGUCUCCAGCUUCCUUAGAAGGGACCAGUGCUAAUCUGAGUACAAGGCCACUGGGGAGGCUCCUCCUUCCAUUGGCAGGGCAUGUGUCUGGGUUUAAAACACAUACUGGGCGCUUAUGAAACACUGGGUCUGUGUGACUGUGUCCACAAACAGACGCAACACACAGGAUGCAGAGGGAGGUUUCUCAGAACUGGACGGGCGCAGGUUGCAUGACUUCAUUCAGUAGCCAUCCAGGUAAUUAAAUAACAGACUGAGGAGGGCAGAGCCCUCCCCAGGGCAUGAAGGAAAGUCAAGAGUUCCCACCUACAACCCAGCAUCUCGGCUGCUUCUGAGCCCAGAGACUCAGCUGACAGGGAGAGCCUCGGCCUGUGCCUCUGAUGCUGGGAUUGAAGCGCGUACCUCCAUGCCCAGUUCCCAUGGUACUGGAGGCUGAACCCAGAGGUUCCGUGUGUGGUGGUCAAGCAGUCUACCAACUGAGUUACAGACGGACAACCAGCCUUCCCAUGAACUCUACAGCUCCUAAUCUUACAGCAGAUAUACAGGGUAGGUAAAAAUGCCAUUUUACAGUUACUUGAGGCUCAGAUGGGAUUGAACAAGGUACCCAUGUCAGAGGCAGUGAGAGGGGGGAGCUGGGACUGAACCCCAACUCUGACUGCUCAGCAGGAAUGGCAGGUCCUAGCUGAGUGACUGUCUGUACAGCUCAGGAUGAGGAAACAAGGGCUGCCUCUGUUUUCCUCCUUCCUGAAACAUGUGCUCGGUGUGGAGCCUGGCUGGCCCGGAACUCACUGUGUAGCUCAGGCUGUCUCUGAAUUUACAGCUGGGAUUAUGGGUGUGUGCCAGGCUCACCUAUCCAGUCUGUCAGCAAAAACAGGAAGAAAAUACUUUUUUCUUGUCUUUCCACUUGCACCCUUCCCCUUUGCCACACACAGGGCAGCCUUUCGGAGGUUAGGAACCAACAUCUGAGAGAGAAGAGUUCUCGGUGAGUUCCUAGCUUCUCAGCCAAUAGGGGCUUGGGCAGCUUUGAUGGCCCCUAAACAAAAAACUGGGAGCAAUGUCUAUGUCUCGGGGUGACGGGUAAGACAUAAGAGAUAACCAAUGCACUGUUAGCGUGCAUAUUAUCCAGCUGCUGCUAUGUUCAUUCAGGUGAAGAAUGAAUAAGUAAGUAGGAUACAGCAUCCCUCCUGGGGAAGAAGGACACAGGGCAGAUACUGGAGUUCAGUAACCCCCACAGGUCUGGUCUUGGCCUGAGGGCAGACUCCUCCCUGGGCCUGCCUGGUCCAGUUCAACCUAGUCUAGCCCAAGCUCCCCACUGCUUAGAAACUGGAAAAAUGGUUUCCUUCUUGGAAAAGAAGACAGAGACUCAAGUCCAAGACUCGGCUCUGCCUUUGAUCAGCUACAGCCCCAGCAGACACCCACCACCAUGGCCCCACGGCCACACCUUCAAAGAAGCAGACUGGACACUCCUUUGAGUGCCUGGAAAAUGCUGAUACACCAGCCUGGGACACCUUCCAACUUCCCCCUGCCGCUUGGCCCAUCACACUUGUGAAAUUCUAUUUCUUUCCUUUUCUGAGUCUUCUGUUUAACUCGAGAGGAAGACACCGAAGACUGUCAGAAAACCCGGAGGAUAUGACAGCUUCGCCUGGGCCUCUCUCGAUGUCCGGGGUUCCCCAUGGUGAGGGCUGAAGGCAUAUCACAGCAUCCCACCGUCAGUGGGCCAGAGGUCUACAGAGCUCUCACAACCUGCUACCACUCUUCCAGUUUCUGAGAAAGGGGCAAAACACAGCCCAAAUUAAAAACAAACAAAACAACCAACCAAACAGGCCUCCAGCUUAGAUGGAUGCUGUGGCCGCAGGCUCAUCCCUCAAGCUGGUUUUCCAUGAAAGAAAACAAACAGAACCCAUGACCCUAGCAUUGGCCAGGGUAAGAAACUUCCAAUGGCCAAGGAUCCCAUAGAAACAAGGCCACCUAUUUAGAACUCUGUCCAGGGGCUGAGCUCUACCCAUGGCAGGGGGCUGACGGUUUCAGCCACAUCUAGAAGGCUCUUUAGUAGGUAUGCUCUUAGUUUUGGGGGGGGAAAGUCUGAAAACCUCCUUCCAAGUCAGGUGUCUCAGCUAACGGGAAAGGAAUCAGACAGACUUGAAGAACAGCCAUAAGCCCAGGGCGGCCUUGAACCAGCAGCUGGAGUCUUUGUAAACUGGCCUUACACUGACAGUCAUCCCACUAACUGAUAACCAAUAAGGGUCUGAGUCUGGUUUCUGCCAGGCCUGGGCGCUCACCAGCUUUCCCCCAUCGUUCUGCAGGUGUCCAUUCUCCUAACGGUCAGUGAGUUGUACAAAGUAGUCUAUUGUAGAGUAAAAACCAAAAGACCUCAUAUGCUUACAGAGACAUCCAGGCCUCUAGUAUCUCCACUUCCUCUGGUACCAGAGAAUCCUAGAGGAGACAGCCAGGUAUGGUGGCCCAAGUCUACAACCCCAGCCUUCGGGAGGAGGAUCUAUGAAGCAAGCCUAUCCCUAGCCCCCCACCCCUACACAAAUAAAAUUGAGAAUGGGGCUGGAGGGAUGGCAGCUAAGAGCAAUUGUUCUUGCAGGGGACCUGGACCUGGGUUGGAUUCCCGGUAUCAUGUGGUGACUCACAACCCUCUCUAACUCCGGAUUCUAACCUCUGCAGGCAGGCACGAGAUGCACGUACAUACACACAGGCGAAAUACUCAUACACGUAAAAUAAUCUUAAAAAACCAAACACCAGGGGCUGGGGAUUUAGCUCAGUGGUAGAGCGCUUACCUAGGAAGCGCAAGGCCCUGGGUUCGGUCCCCAGCUCCGAAAAAAAAGAACCAAAAAAAAAAAAAAACCAAA